UGCCAGCAGCCGCGGUAAUACGGAAGGUCCAGGCGUUAUCCGGAUUUAUUGGGUUUAAAGGGAGCGCAGGCUGGAGAUUAAGCGUGACGUGAAAUGCCGCGGCUCAACCGUGGAAGUGCGUCGCGAACUGGUUUCCUUGAGUGUAUUCGACGUCAGCGGAAUUCGUGGUGUAGCGGUGAAAUGCUUAGAUAUCACGAAGAACUCCGAUUGCGAAGGCAGCUGGCGAGGCUACAACUGACGCUAAAGCUCGAAGGUGCGGGUAUCGAACAGGAUUAGAUACCCUGGUAGUCCGCACGGUAAACGAUGGAUGCCCGCUGUUGGCGAUAUACUGUCAGCGGCCAAGCGAAAGCGUUAAGCAUCCCACCUGGGGAGUACGCCGGCAACGGUGA
rnacentral:rRNA from 1 species